rnacentral:rRNA from 1 species
UACGAAGGGGGCUAGCGUUGCUCGGAAUCACUGGGCGUAAAGCGCACGUAGGCGGACUCUUAAGUCGGUGGUGAAAUCCUGGAGCUCAACUCCAGAACUGCCUUCGAUACUGGGAGUCUCGAGUUCGGGAGAGGUGAGUGGAACUGCGAGUGUAGAGGUGAAAUUCGUAGAUAUUCGCAAGAACACCAGUGGCGAAGGCGGCGACCUGGGUCGACACUGACGCUGAGGCGCGAAAGCGUGGGGAGCAAACAGG